rnacentral:rRNA from 1 species
GGGGAAUCUUGCGCAAUGGGGGAAACCCUGACGCAGUGACGCCGCGUGAACGAUGAAGUCCUUCGGGAUGUAAAGUUCUGUCAGGCGGGAAGAACCUCCCCCCGAUGCAAAUCGGGGGGAGAUGACGGUACCGCCAGAGGAAGCACCGGCUAAUUCCGUGCCAGCAGCCGCGGUAAGACGGAGGGUGCAAGCGUUGUUCGGAAUUACUAGGCGUAAAGAGCGUGUAGGUGGUUAGCUAAGUCGGAUGUGAAAAUUCCGAGCUCAACUCGGAACCUGCAUUCGAAACUGGUUAACUUGAGUGUGGGAGAGGAGAGCGGAAUUCCUAGUGUAGCGGUGAAAUGCGUAGAUAUUAGGAAGAACACCGGUGGCGAAGGCGGCUCUCUGGCCUAAAACUGACACUGAGACGCGAAAGCGUGGGGAGCAAACAG